CCUACGUGAGGCAGCAGUGGGGAAUAUUGCACAAUGGGGGAAACCCUGAUGCAGCGACGCCGCGUGAGCGAUGAAGUAUUUCGGUAUGUAAAGCCCUAUCAGCAGGGAAGAAAAUGACGGUACUAGACUAAGAAGCCCCGGCUAACUACGUGCCAGCAGCCGCGGUAAUACGUAGGGGGCCAGCGUUAUCCGGAUUGACUGGGUGUAAAGGGCGCGUAGUCGGCGAUGCAAGCCAGAUGUGAAAGCCCGGGGCUCAACCCCGGGACUGCAUUUGGAACUGUAUAGCUGGAGUGUCGGAGAGGCAGGCGGAAUGCGUGGUGUAGCGGUGAAAUGCGUAGAUAUUAGGCGGAACACCAGUGGCGAAGGCAGCCUGCUGGACGAUGACUGACGUGGAGGCUCGAAAGCGUGGGGAGCAAACAGGAUUAGAUACCCUGGUAGUC
rnacentral:rRNA from 1 species